UUGAUGAAAGUUGAUCAUAUCACUUUCACUACUCCAAUUUCAACUUCAUGUUCUUGGAAAAGUACGAUAUAAUCAGCCAAAAUCGCACUUUUUCUCUCUCUAGUGGAUCUUCUUAAUGGCAUUUGUUCUUGAGGCUGUAGAGUUUGUUCUUCUGGAAUAAUUUGUUGACCUUGUGAGGGAGAUACAAAAAAUUUAUCUUUAACCCUUUCUUCACCCGCAAACUCGCCAUCCUCAAAGAACCGAACAUUUUCUAUCUCGAAAAUUGCCUUAGUUGUGGGAUUAUAAAACUUGUAACCCCUGGACCUGUUAGAAUAUCCAAUAAAAUAAUAAUUGAUAGUCCUUGCGUUCAAUUUCUUUUCAUUUAGCCUAUAAGGCAUUACCUCAACUGGACAUCCCCAAAUGUUGUAGGUUUCUUGCCGUCCAAAGCUUACAAGGGGUUUUAUCAGUGGCCUUAGUUGGAACUCUGUUGAGUAUAUACGCUGCAGUCUUUAAUGCUUCACCUCAAAUAGAAUGACUAAUCAAACUCCUUAUCAUGUCCUUAAGCGUUCUAUUAAAUCUCUCAACAACACCAUCCAUAGUGGGCAAACUUGACAUAGUGUACUGUGAGACGAUACCGCAUUUCUCUAGGAAUUUAGCAAAUGGCCUUGGAAAUUGUUCUCCUGAACCGUCAUAUCUGCCAGAGUAUUCACCAACGGUCAGAUCUGACACUUUUAAUCCUUUUGUCGAGUUGAUUUUCAGUUUCAGCUUCAUAGUCCUUAAACAUAUCUAGGGACUGUGAUUUUUCAUGAAUGAGAUAUACAUAAUCAUAUCUUGAAAGUCGUCUAUGAACAUUAUAAAAUAUUGUUGACCAUUCCAAGAACCCGUAAAGAAUAGUCCACAAAUAUUCGUAUCUAUAAGUUCUAAGACAUCCGAAGUUGGCUUGAAAUUUCCUUUUAUUAGUUUAUUUUUGUUUUCGCUUUACACUUCGAGUACUUACAUGCAAGAAUUUAUUAAAAGAAGCAAUUGUAUCAAUUAAAUAUAGAUUAUCGUAACCUGAUAAAGAACCAGAACCAACUAAUUUUGAAUCAUGAAACAAACUGAAUUUUUCAUUUUCAAAUGAACAAGAAUAACUGGAUUUGUCCAAAGCAGAAAUGGAAAUCAAAUUUUGUAGAUAAGACGGUACAAUAAAUGUUUCAUCAAGAUCCAAAUAAAUCCAGUCUUUAAUAAUAAUGUAAAUUUUCCAAUUGCCUCUACUUUCACCGUCAUGCCGAACCAACAUAGAUGUAUAUUUCACCAUCACUUGGUUUUCGACAACUCAAGCAAUCUUGCACAGAUACACUGAUGUGAGUUGUACUAGAAUAUAUCCACCAUAUAUGUUUAGGUACCGAAGUUAAAUUAACCUUAAAACAAACCAAUCGAAGAAGAAUACCUUUCAUCACAUGCCAUACGUGAUAGUUGGUACAAUUCUUCUUCUUAUGACCUGCAAUUCCACAAAAGAAACAACCAUACUCAAUUUGUUCCUUAUGCUAUUUCUUUUGUGGUGCUGUGCCCGCAGCUUCCUUAUUAGUUUUCCUUUUUCUUUAUAUUUCAUUGAAGUAAGGUUUGCUAAAAGUGUACUAGUUUCAGCCUUUUCAUUUAUUGCAAGCCUCUUCUCAAGAUCCUUAAGGAUAACCUUAGCCGUGUUUAUUUCAUUAGAUAUAGUACCCCGAAGUGGUUCUGGAAUAUCAAGUUUCAUAGUCUCUUAGAUUUCAUUAGACUACUUAGAUUUCAUUAAUCUCACAGGGAGUACUUAGACUACUUAGCUAUCUGGUGAAGUAAGUUUGCAUGUUCAUUUUAUUAGUUAUUUAGCUUUUUACCUCUCAUUUUAGACAAUUUAUCAAUAAUUUUUGUUUGUCUUGAUCUCCAGAUGGUGAGAGAAAUGCUAAAAGAUGUGCGCAGAAGUGUACAAUUAAUGGGGGAUCCUGUGAUUCAGUUGAGGCAUAACCCGCGAUUUACCCCCUCUAAGGUUCCCCCUCUAAGGUUCUAGGGGCAUGAGUCUUAAAGGUCCAGGAUUUAGUUUGGUGUAAGUUGGGACACCUGGAUAUCAAAAAAUUAAAAAAAAAAUGCUAAAAGACAAAAGACUUCAUAUGAGGAUGUGAAUGCUGAUAUAUUAGGUUCAUCGACUCACAAACAUGCCAAGACCUGAUGGUGCCACUGUGAUGUCCUAUAUUGAUGAUCAAUGGGUGGAAUGAAACAGUAACUAAACACAUAUACAUUUGGUAUUCUGUCUUGUCAAAAACUGUUAUCUAUGUUUUCUUUUAGGAUUGUGUGUUUAAAUUGUUAGCUGGAAUACGGACAAUAUAUGCUAAUGUUGUUUAAUUUAUUCCUGGUUAAUGUGUCUUGAUAUAUAGCCCCUGUUUGAUCCCCAUUACGUAGAAAAAUUAAUGGGGGGAAUAGUAUUUUUUUUAAAAAAUGAGUAGUUGAAAAAGAAUGAAAAGUUUUCGAUUUACGUGUAAUAUUAUUUUAUGAAAGAUUGUGUGGUUGAAAAUAGGAGAGAGAAAAAUGAAAUGUAAAUGAAUUUAAUGUAAUGGGGCUCAAACGGGGGCACAGAUUUUGUAGACAG
rnacentral:lncRNA from 1 species